rnacentral:tRNA from 1 species
GCAGGAGUGGUGAAACUGGCAGACACGCUAGACUUAGGAUCUAGUGCCUUUGGCUUGUGGGUUCGACUCCCACCUUCUGCA